rnacentral:rRNA from 1 species
AACGAACGCUGGCGGCAUGCCUAACACAUGCAAGUCGAACGAGACCUUCGGGUCUAGUGGCGCACGGGCGCGUAACGCGUGGGAAUCUGCCCUUCGGUUGGGAAUAACUGAGAGAAAUUUCAGCUAAUACCUUAUAAUGUCUUCGGACCAAAGAUUUAUCGCCGAGGGAUGAGCCCGCGUAGGAUUAGGUAGUUGGUGGGGUAAUGGCCUACCAAGCCGACGAUCCUUAGCUGGUCUGAGAGGAUGAUCAGCCACACUGGGCCUGAGACACGGCCCAGACUCCUACGGGAGGCAGCAGUGGGGAAUAUUGGACAAUGGGCGAAAGCCUGAUCCAGCAAUGCCGCGUGAGUGAUGAAGGCCUUAGGGUUGUAAAGCUCUUUUACCCGGGAUGAUAAUGACAGUACCGGGAGAAUAAGCUCCGGCUAACUCCGUGCCAGCCGCCGCGGUAA